GAAGUCGUAACAAGGCAGCCGUACGGGAACGUGUGGCUGAAUCACCUCCUUUCUAGGGAGU
rnacentral:rRNA from 1 species